rnacentral:rRNA from 1 species
UACGAAGGGGGCUAGCGUUGUUCGGAAUUACUGGGCGUAAAGCGCACGUAGGCGGGUAUUUAAGUCAGGGGUGAAAUCCCAGAGCUCAACUCUGGAACUGCCUUUGAUACUGGGUAUCUCGAGUAUGGAAGAGGUGAGUGGAAUUCCGAGUGUAGAGGUGAAAUUCGUAGAUAUUCGCAAGAACACCAGUGGCGAAGGCGGCUCACUGGCCCGGUACUGACGCUGAGGUGCGAAAGCGUGGGGAGCGAACAGG